AUGAAGACGACAGGAGGAGUUCCCAUGUCCGGACUUCCCUUCUUCCUCUUCCUCUGUCUCUUCUCCUUCUUCACUGCCUCUGCCUCUACCAAGCAAGGCCAGGUCUAUAUAGUGUAUCUGGGCGAGGACGCCGCAGCGAAGUCGAAGGGGGCGAUCCUUGAUGAUCACCAUGCCCUCCUCCUCUCCGUCAAGGGCAGCGAGGAGGAGGCACGGGCGUCGCUGCUGUACAGCUACAAGCACAGCCUGAAUGGCUUCGCGGCUCUUCUCUCCGAUGAUGAAGCCACGAAGCUUUCAGAGAGGACUGAGGUAGUGUCCACCUUUCGGAGCGACGGGAGGUGGUCCCCCCACACCACGAGGUCUUGGGAGUUUGUGGGCUUGGAGGAAGGGCUCAGCAAGGGCUGGCUGCCGUCCGGCGCUCACACCGGCGAGAAUGUCAUCGUAGGCAUGCUGGACUCCGGGAUCUGGCCGGAGUCGAGGAGCUUCAGCGACGAGGGGCUAGGACCAGUGCCCCCGCGGUGGAAGGGGGCGUGUCAAGGAGGAGACUCCUUCAAUUCCUCCUCCUGCAAUAGGAAGGUCAUCGGCGCGCGGUACUACCUCAAGGCGUACGAGGCCCACCACGGCAGGCUGAACGCCACCAACGCGUACCGCUCGCCGCGCGACCACGACGGCCACGGCACCCACACCGCGUCCACCGUCGCGGGCCGCACUGUGCCGGGCGUGGCGGCGCUCGGCGGGUUCGCGGCCGGCACGGCCUCGGGCGGCGCGCCGCUCGCCCGCCUCGCCAUCUACAAGGUGUGCUGGCCCAUCCCGGGGCCCAACCCCAACAUCGAGAACACAUGCUUCGACGCCGACAUGCUCGCGGCCAUGGACGACGCGGUCGGCGACGGCGUCGACGUGAUGAGCGUCUCCAUCGGGUCCUCCGGGAAGCCGCCCCGGCUACCGGACGACGGCAUCGCCGUCGGCGCGCUGCACGCCGCCAGGCGCGGCGUGGUCGUCGUGUGCAGCGGUGGGAACUCUGGCCCCGCGCCGGCCACCGUGUCGAACCUUGCACCGUGGAUACUCACGGUCGGCGCCAGCAGCAUCGACCGCUCUUUCAACUCCCCGAUCACGCUUGGCAAUGGCAUGGUGAUCAUGGGACAAACGGUAACACCAUAUCAACUGCCGCCGAACAGGACGUAUCCAAUGGUUUAUGCAGCACAGGCCGUGGUUCCUGGCACUCCCGCCAACGUUACCAACCAAUGCCUGCCGAAUUCGCUCUCGCCGCAGAAGGUGCGAGGCAAAAUCGUGGUGUGCUUGAGGGGGAGCGGCCUGAGGGUGGGCAAAGGCCUGGAGGUGAAGCGGGCGGGCGGCGCGGCGAUUGUGCUCGGCAACCCGCCAUUGUACGGCAGCGAGGUCCCCGUCGACGCGCACGUGCUCCCCGGAACGGCAGUGUCCAUGGCCGACGUGAACACCAUCCUCAAGUACAUUAACUCCAGCGCGAACCCAACCGCUUACCUGGAGCGCUCGAGGACAGUCGUGGACGUGAAGCCGUCGCCGGUGAUGGCGCAGUUCUCGUCGCGUGGCCCCAACGUCCUCGAGCCCAGCAUUCUCAAGCCUGACGUUACGGCGCCGGGCCUGAACAUCCUGGCGGCGUGGAGCGAGGCGUCGUCGCCCACAAAGCUCGACGGCGACAAUCGCGUGGUGAAGUACAACAUCAUCUCGGGGACAUCAAUGUCGUGCCCGCAUGUCUCCGCCACCGCCGUCCUCCUCAAGUCUGCCCACCCCGACUGGAGCGCCGCCGCAAUCCGAUCAGCCAUCAUGACCACCGCAACAGCUAACAACGCGGAAAGCGGCCCAAUAAUGAACGCGGACGGAACGGUGGCGGGGCCCAUGGACUAUGGCUCGGGCCACAUCAGGCCCAGGCACGCGCUGGACCCGGGCCUCGUGUACGACGCGUCCUUCCAGGACUACCUCCUCUACGCCUGCGCCAGCGGCGGCGCGCAGCUCGACCGCUCGUUCCCGUGCCCGGCGACCCCGCCGCGUCCGCACGAGCUCAACUACCCUUCCGUCGCCAUCCACGGCCUCAACGGGUCCGCCACCGUGCGCCGGACGGUGACCAACGUCGGCGAGCACGGGGCGCAUUACAGCGUCGCCGUGGUCGAGCCCAUGGGCUUCUCCGUGAAGGUCUCGCCGACGAGCCUCGCCUUCGCACGCGCCGGGGAGAAGAAGACCUUCACGAUAAAGAUCGCAGCGACGGAGAAGAGAAGUCGGCGUCCGAAGAGGAAAUAUCUGGCAGGCUCGUACACGUGGAGCGACGGAGUCCAUGCUGUGAGGAGCCCCGUCGUGGUUCUCGUCGCGUGA
rnacentral:rRNA from 1 species